rnacentral:lncRNA from 1 species
AAGAAAAAUGAGGUAAACAACACUGAAUCGAAAACAGAAAGGAGAUAUCGAACAACCCAAAUCACGUAACAAAAAACUACGAUGCGAUCCGUCCGAUGAUCAAACGUCAACUGAUCCUUGACUUGCCGAGUAAGUGGUUAAUAUGUGCCGAUAGGAAUUAAUUCAUCGUCUUCCGGACGUGAAUCCGGCCGGCCCCUGUGUAGCGGUAGUUGGUACAUAUUUGGGAAUACACCGACGGAGAAACGACUCAUGCCAGAAGUGACCUAUGAACGUCUAUGGUUAUUACGCAAUUGUAAUUUAAAUACGAUAUUAACAUUGUUCCUAAUUUUUUGAAUAUACAGUGGUACAUGGUAGUACAUAUUAUAUAUUGAAUACAUAAAAGUAUAGAGAUCCAUAAUAUAAUGCAAGGAAGGUGGUUAAUAAUUCUUCCAAAUUUUGGUGACUGAAACAUUUGAUGGAACGUUUUGAUUAAUGAUGGAAAAUCGUUUGAAAAUUUGAAAUCUCCUUGAACUUAAUAGCUGCACAUCCCACUCGGUGCCCGUGAAGUUUAUUGGAAGUUACCAUUUAACAGGAGGAAUUCUCGUCUCACGAAAUCGCGUGCAGUACGGUAUACAAAAUUACACUCGUGAGACUUUCAUUUAUGGGAAUAUUUGGCGUUAGUCAUCGACAAGUAUUCGAUAUAACGCUUAAGUUUGACCAACCGUCGCUGGAAAACAAAAUGGAUGAACCGUUUACAAAUAAGUAAAACAAAUUCGAUACCGCAUAUCAGUUGAAAGGACUGGAAAGCCUCCCUGAAAUACUUCUAAUCUGAAGCCGAAUGAGUGACAAAUGUUUUGGGACUUUGAAACUUUCCUUUGAAUAACAAGUGAACGAGGAAAUGCCAAUCUGAAAGCGCGUCCAUAAAACUGAUAUAAAAAUUAUAAUAUUUGUUGCGAGCUUGGUUCACGCUAUUGACUUUCGGUUAAGUCGGUCAAGCAUUGCACGAGGAUGCACGCACACAUAUCAGUUUCUGCUAAGAUAUGCAUCGUCUAUGCUUUCACUCUGACUUAUUCACUGUGUGUACCACAUAUGCAGAGUUCAUUCGCAACAAAAGAAACAAUAAUGUACGAUGGAAUGAACGAGAAGGAAUGACUAAUGACGGAUUGCUACAUCUCGAUGGAAAACUUUUCUCACUCUGUUAUCAGAGAAAUUGUUUCGUAUAGAUAAAAGCGGUUGAAAUUAAGAUCACCGUUUCAAUCGUAGUUCCGACACACGUACACGAGAUACUUGUCGAAUGUCCGAGAAGGUGAUUAAACUACUUAAAGCGAUACCAGUAAUCAAAGUUGUAGCAAAUACAUCCACAUUUUCCUGAUAAUGUGGGUUCUUAACAACGCCAAAUUACGGUGUACCAAAUUACGAUGUACGAGGAACAAUGGUUUCACUAGCAUUCCGACACGAUAUUCGAGAAUGUAAUUCAAUCUCGCAGCGAUCGUAACGCGUAUUUCGUUUUGCGCGUCAAACGAAUGUUCACGCACGCAUACGUUUAAUAAUAAUUUAAAAGAAUGAAGAGACCUAUUUCUCCUAAGGACGUUUACGUUUCCAACGAACAUGGUAUUCGCUGCAUUGUUUGGCUUGAAGUAGCUACGCGUGCACCGUCACGUAUCCUUUCAAUUUUGAACCUCCUUUAGAUUUGGGCACAGUCAAAUCGGAAUACGUUGUGUAUGUCACGUAGGUAGAAAUAAGCGACUGCAGAGAAAAGCAAUCUCUGCGUUAUUAAAUUGGAACAGGAAGUUAAAGGAGAAUUCAGAGAUUUGGAAAUCAGAAGAUUUGAAUAUUUAGAACUUGUGUGAUACACCGUCUACAAUUAAGACCAUAAAGAUUUAGUUUCAUUAGUUUGCAUAAAACUGAAUCUUUGUGGUUUAACGAAGACUGAAAAUUUAUGAUGAACUUGGAAUGGAAACUGUUGACUUGAUUACAAAGUAAUUUAUUUUCUGUUCUCGCUUGAAAAUAGUCUAGACAAUAUUUGUUCCUUCACUCGUUAUCGACUUGACAAUAAGAGAGGAAAACAGAAAUAUUAUUUGGUGGAGCUAACGUUUCUUUUGAAAUGCGUUGUACAUAUUACAUGGAGGGUGCAGAUCGUUGCAGAUACGCGCGCGCGCAUUAUUGUCAUGCCCGGAAGAGACUCAAAUUCCAUUAAAUAUAUCUGAAUCCUUUGACAAACUCAACUGUCGAAUUUUUAUAUACGUUGCCCUCAUUAUAGCUAUCCAGGUCUUGUUCGCUACGAUUGUUCCUGGUCAUUCUUAUUCCACUAUCUAAAGGGAAGUUGAACAACGACUG